rnacentral:rRNA from 1 species
CCUACGGGGGGCAGCAGUGGGGAAUAUUGCGCAAUGGGCGCAAGCCUGAUGCAGCCAUGCCGCGUGUGUGAAGAAGGCCUUCGGGUUGUAAAGCACUUUCAGCGGGGAGGAAGGCGGUGAGGUUAAUAACCUCAUCGAUUGACGUUACCCGCAGAAGAAGCACCGGCUAACUCCGUGCCAGCAGCCGCGGUAAUACGGAGGGUGCAAGCGUUAAUCGGAAUUACUGGGCGUAAAGCGCACGCAGGCGGUCUGUCAAGUCGGAUGUGAAAUCCCCGGGCUCAACCUGGGAACUGCAUUCGAAACUGGCAGGCUAGAGUCUGGUAGAGGGGGGUAGAAUUCCAGGUGUAGCGGUGAAAUGCGUAGAGAUCUGGAGGAAUACCGGUGGCGAAGGCGGCCCCCUGACAAAGACUGACGCUCAGGUGCGAAAGCGUGGGGAGCAAACAGGAUUAGAUACCCGAGUAGUC